rnacentral:rRNA from 1 species
UGCUGGAGGUAUCAGAAGUGCGAAUGCUGACAUAAGUAACGAUAAUGCGGGUGAAAAACCCGCACGCCGGAAGACCAAGGGUUCCUGUCCAACGUUAAUCGGGGCAGGGUGAGUCGACCCCUAAGGCGAGGCUGAAAAGCGUAGUCGAUGGGCAACGGGUUAAUAUUCCCGUACUGGUGGUAACUGCGAAGGGGGGACGGAGAAAGCUAAAUCAUCCGGGCGACGGUUGUCCCGGUUUAAGCGUGCAGGUGGACUGACCAGGCAAAUCCGGUCGGUUGUUAACACUGAGGCGUGACGACGAGCCACUACGGUGGUGAAGUGAUUGAUGCUCUGCUUCCGGGAAAAGCCUCUAAGCUCCAGGUUACCAUUAAUCGUACCCCAAACCGACACAGGUGGUCAGGUAGAGAAUACUCAGGCGCUUGAGAGAACUCGGGUGAAGGAACUAGGCAAAAUGGUGCCGUAACUUCGGGAGAAGGCACGCUGGCAUUAGGUGAAGUGGUUUACCCACGGAGCUGAAGCCAGCCGCAGAUACCAGCUGGCUGCAACUGUUUAUUAAAAACACAGCACUGUGCAAACACGAAAGUGGACGUAUACGGUGUGACGCCUGCCCGGUGCCGGAAGGUUAAUUGAUGAGGU